ACCUGCGGAAGGAUCAUUACAGAGUGUGAGGCUCAGUCGUGGCAUCUGCUGCGUGCUGGGCCAACCCUCCCACCCGUGUCGAUUUGUAUCUUGUUGCUUUGGCGGGCCGGGCCGCGUCGUCGCUGCUCCGCAAGGACAUGCGUCGGCCGCCCACCGGUUUCGGCUGGAGCGCGCCCGCCAAAGACCCAACCAAAACUCAUGUUGUUUUUGUCGUCUCAGCUUUAUUAUUGAAAUUGAUAAAACUUUCAACAACGGAUCUCUUGGCUCUGGCAUCGAUGAAGAACGCAGCGAAAUGCGAUAAGUAAUGUGAAUUGCAGAAUUUAGUGAAUCAUCGAAUCUUUGAACGCACAUUGCGCCCCUUGGUAUUCCGAGGGGCAUGCCUGUUCGAGCGUCAUAACACCCCCUCCAGCUGCCUUUGUGUGGUUGCGGUGUUGGGGCUCGUCGGAUGCGGCGGCCCUUAAAGACAGUGGCGGUCCCGGCGUGGGCUCUACGCGUAGUAACUUGCUUCUCGCGACAGAGUGACGACGGUGGCUUGCCAGAACAACCCACUUGCUCCAGUCACAUGGAUCACAGGUUGACCUCGAAUCAGGUAGGAAUACCCGC
rnacentral:rRNA from 1 species